AUCUCGGUUCCACUCGGUCACUGUCGCUAUGCGCCCCACGCUUACCACACAAUGUCGAGGGAUUCACCUUUGGCUGAAAGUAUUGGAAGGGCCGUUCUGGCAGCUAUACAAGAAAUUAACCCCGCGUCAGCUACAACGGCUGCCGCAGAGCCACAACAGCACUCGGACUCCGGCACUGAUGGUACGGUAUCUUUAACAGCACCAGACUUCACCCCAGUGACCUCUCAGUCAGGUACCUACCAAGGAAGGCAUGAUAUAUCCAGAGAGGAGCUUGAACAUGUUCUUUCCCUGAAAACCACUUUUACUGAAGCAGCAUCUACUCUUGGAAUCUCAAGGCCAACUUUCUAUAAAUUACUACAAGACUACAAUAUUCCAACAUCAAAAUUUGAUCUAAUCAGUGAUCAACAAUUAGAUAUUGAAGUGUCACAAAUAAAAACUGAACACCCAAAUGUUGGUGAAGUGAUGCUCAUGGCACAUCUGUAUGAAGGUAAAUUUGUUUCUUUAUUUUUCAGUCGAAAAAAAAGUUGCUCCAAUCGCAAAACAUGUUCUCAAUCAGAAAAAACUUCACUUCAAUCAAAAAAAACGUUUUCAAUCAAAGAAAAAACUUGUUCAAACGCAAAAAAAUAUUUGUGCUAUUUGUGGAUUAUUUACUGAUUUCAAGACAUGUUUUGGACAAUAUAUUAUACUGGCUUGUUUUGUCUGGAUGUCUAAGCUUGGAUUAUGGCCGUUUUUUGUGGAAUAUUUUCAUCUGUGACCAGUUAUGAGCCUUCAAAGGUUCACUGCCAGACCUCUAGUGGAGACCAUCUUUGAGAGGGGCAUGGCCACCUGCUUGGCCUACGGACAGACAGGAAGCGGAAAAACACAUACUAUGGGUGGAGAUUUCUCUGGAAAGAACCAAGACUGCUGGAAAGGAAUUUAUGCAUUAGCUGGAUGUAUUUGUCAUUUUGAAGAAACCCAAUUACAAGAAUUUAGAUCUACAAGUGUAUGCAGCCUUCUUUCAAAUCUACAAUGAAAAGG